AACGCUAGCUACAGGCUUAACACAUGCAAGUCGAGGGGCAGCAUAAAAGUAGCAAUACUUUGGUGGCGACCGGCGCACGGGUGAGUAACGCGUAUGCAACCUACCUAUCAGAGGGGAAUAACCCGGCGAAAGUCGGACUAAUACCGCAUAAAACAGGGGCACCGCAUGGUGAUAUUUGUUAAAGAAAUUCGCUGAUAGAUGGGCAUGCGUUCCAUUAGGUAGUAGGCGGGGUAACGGCCCACCUAGCCAUCGAUCAGUAGGGGUUCUGAGAGGAAGGUCCCCCACACUGGAACUGAGACACGGUCCAGACUCCUACGGGAGGCAGCAGUGAGGAAUAUUGGUCAAUGGGCGCGAGCCUGAACCAGCCAAGUAGCGUGCAGGACGACGGCCCUACGGGUUGUAAACUGCUUUUAUGCGGGAAUAACCGCCGGGACGUGUCCCGGCCUGCAUGUACCGCAUGAAUAAGGACCGGCUAAUUCCGUGCCAGCAGCCGCGGUAAUACGGAAGGUCCGGGCGUUAUCCGGAUUUAUUGGGUUUAAAGGGAGCGUAGGCGGUCUGUUAAGCGUGUUGUGAAAUGUAACGGCUCAACCGUUGACUUGCAGCGCGAACUGGCAGUCUUGAGUGCGCGGGAAGCAGGCGGAAUUCGUGGUGUAGCGGUGAAAUGCUUAGAUAUCACGAAGAACUCCGAUUG
rnacentral:rRNA from 1 species